AACCCAGGACUACCAGCCCAGGGAUAGCACCACCCACCAAUGGGCCCUCCCACCCUUGAUCACUGACUGAGAAAAUGCCUUACAUCUGGAUCUCAUGGAAGCAUUUCCUCAAGGAAGAUUCCGUUCUCGGUGAUAACUCCAGCUUGAGUCAAGUUGACACACAAAACCAGCCAGCACAGACUCUUAUCACGUCCUUUCUCUUCUAAUAAACCAAGAGUAAGACCUGUUUCUCUAAAGUUGCUCCCACUCCCGCUGCUGUUACUUAAAAUAGUUUUCCGUGAGACUUCUCUGGAAACACAUACCUUGUUUGUGACAAUUUCAGAGUGACUCCUUUUAACUCAUCCUUGGUGAAGGAUCAGAGGAAACUUUCCAAACUCCCAUAUGCCAUGCUCAAACUCUGCUCCCGAGCUACCCUGGUCAAGUUCGUGAACUAUUACCAGCAUCAGCUAGAUAACAUAAGGCUGCAUUCAUCACAAUGGCAUAUAACUGUUGGCUAUAUAGGAACUAGUUUCAUCUUUUGAAGUCGGUCUACUAAGAAUAUUUGCUUUUUACCAUCACUUUCUUGGAAAGUUCCUCAAGGAUCUGUUCCAGCCAAACAAGAGAGUAAAGCAGAGAACAAGGUCAGCAAAUAGAAGGGGGGGGAACAGUCUUGGGAUUCUAGAAGACUUGGCAUGCACCCAAUCUGUCUGGUAAAAGAUCUGAAGAGGUAGUGAGA